rnacentral:misc_RNA from 1 species
UACGGAGGAUCCAAGCGUUAUCCGGAAUCAUUGGGUUUAAAGGGUCCGUAGGCGGGUUAUUAAGUCAGUGGUGAAAGUUUUCGGCUUAACCGAAAAAUUGCCAUUGAUACUGGUAGUCUUGAAUUUUUGUGAAGUAACUAGAAUAUGUAGUGUAGCGGUGAAAUGCAUAGAUAUUACAUAGAAUACCGAUUGCGAAGGCAGAUCACUAAUAAAAUACUGACGCUGAUGGACGAAAGCGUAGGUAGCGAACAGG